UGGGGAAUCAUGGUCAAUGGGCGAAAGCCUGAACCUGCGACGCCGCGUGAGUGAUGAAGGUCGUAAGAUCGUAAAACUCUUUUCAGGGAUCUUAAAGCACAACCGUCAACAACGGCUGUGUGUGACUCUCCCUGGAAGAAGCCCCAGCCAACUACGUGCCAGCAGCCGCGGUAAUACGUAGGGGGCGAGCGUUGUCCGAAUUUAUUGGGCGUAAAGCGCGUGUAGGCGGCUCUUUAAGUCAGAUGUGAAAUCCUGCGGCUCAACCGCAGAACUGCAUUUGAUACUGGAGGGCUUGAGUGUGGGAGAGGAAAGUGGAAUUCCAGGUGUAGCGGUGAAAUGCGUAGAUAUCUGGAGGAACACCCGUGGCGAAGGCGGCUUUCUGGCCCACCACUGACGCUGAGACGCGAAGGCUAGGGGAGCGAACG
rnacentral:rRNA from 1 species